rnacentral:rRNA from 1 species
UACAGAGGUCCCAAGCGUUGUUCGGAUUUACUGGGCGUAAAGGGUGCGUAGGCGGUCAAAAAAGUCUGAUGUGAAAUCUCGGAGCCUAACUCCGAAACUGCAUUGGAAACUGUUUGACUUGAGGAGUGGAGGGGAGACUGGAAUUCUCGGUGUAGCAGUGAAAUGCGUAGAUAUCGGGAGGAACACCAGUGGCGAAGGCGAGUCUCUAGACAUUUCCUGACGCUGAGGCCCGAAAGCCAGGGGAGCAAACGGGAUUAGAUACCCCGGGACUCUUGGCUGUAAACGGUGCGCUUUUGCUGUGGGGGGAUUCGCCCCCGCCAGUGGCGAAGCUAACGCGAUAAAUGCGCCGCCUGGGGAGUACGGUCGCAAGAUUA